rnacentral:rRNA from 1 species
GGGUUGUGAGGUUAAGCGACUAAGCGUACACGGUGGAUGCCCUGGCAGUCAGAGGCGAUGAAGGACGUGCUAAUCUGCGAUAAGCGUCGGUAAGGUGAUAUGAACCGUUAUAACCGGCGAUUUCCGAAUGGGGAAACCCAGUGUGUUUCGACACACUAUCAUUAACUGAAUCCAUAGGUUAAUGAGGCGAACCGGGGGAACUGAAACAUCUAAGUACCCCGAGGAAAAGAAAUCAACCGAGAUUCCCCCAGUAGCGGCGAGCGAACGGGGAGCAGCCCAGAGCCUGAAUCAGUGUGUGUGUUAGUGGAAGCGUCUGGAAAGGCGCGCGAUACAGGGUGACAGCCCCGUACACAAAAAUGCACAUGCUGUGAGCUCGAUGAGUAGGGCGGGACACGUGGUAUCCUGUCUGAAUAUGGGGGGACCAUCCUCCAAGGCUAAAUACUCCUGACUGACCGAUAGUGAACCAGUACCGUGAGGGAAAGGCGAAAAGAACCCCGGCGAGGGGAGUGAAAAAGAACCUGAAACCGUGUACGUACAAGCAGUGGGAGCACAGAGCAAUCUGUGUGACUGCGUACCUUUUGUAUAAUGGGUCAGCGACUUAUAUUCUGUAGCAAGGUUAACCGAAUAGGGGAGCCGAAGGGAAACCGAGUCUUAACUGGGCGUUAAGUUGCAGGGUAUAGACCCGAAACCCGGUGAUCUAGCCAUGGGCAGGUUGAAGGUUGGGUAACACUAACUGGAGGACCGAACCGACUAAUGUUGAAAAAUUAGCGGAUGACUUGUGGCUGGGGGUGAAAGGCCAAUCAAACCGGGAGAUAGCUGGUUCUCCCCGAAAGCUAUUUAGGUAGCGCCUCGUGAAUUCAUCUCCGGGGGUAGAGCACUGUUUCGGCAAGGGGGUCAUCCCGACUUACCAACCCGAUGCAAACUGCGAAUACCGGAGAAUGUUAUCACGGGAGACACACGGCGGGUGCUAACGUCCGUCGUGAAGAGGGAAACAACCCAGACCGCCAGCUAAGGUCCCAAAGUCAUGGUUAAGUGGGAAACGAUGUGGGAAGGCCCAGACAGCCAGGAUGUUGGCUUAGAAGCAGCCAUCAUUUAAAGAAAGCGUAAUAGCUCACUGGUCGAGUCGGCCUGCGCGGAAGAUGUAACGGGGCUAAACCAUGCACCGAAGCUGCGGCAGCGACGCUUAUGCGUUGUUGGGUAGGGGAGCGUUCUGUAAGCCUGUGAAGGUGUACUGUGAGGUAUGCUGGAGGUAUCAGAAGUGCGAAUGCUGACAUAAGUAACGAUAAAGCGGGUGAAAAGCCCGCUCGCCGGAAGACCAAGGGUUCCUGUCCAACGUUAAUCGGGGCAGGGUGAGUCGACCCCUAAGGCGAGGCCGAAAGGCGUAGUCGAUGGGAAACAGGUUAAUAUUCCUGUACUUGGUGUUACUGCGAAGGGGGGACGGAGAAGGCUAUGUUGGCCGGGCGACGGUUGUCCCGGUUUAAGCGUGUAGGCUGGUUUUCCAGGCAAAUCCGGAAAAUCAAGGCUGAGGCGUGAUGACGAGGCACUACGGUGCUGAAGCAACAAAUGCCCUGCUUCCAGGAAAAGCCUCUAAGCAUCAGGUAACAUCAAAUCGUACCCCAAACCGACACAGGUGGUCAGGUAGAGAAUACCAAGGCGCUUGAGAGAACUCGGGUGAAGGAACUAGGCAAAAUGGUGCCGUAACUUCGGGAGAAGGCACGCUGAUAUGUAGGUGAAGUCCCUCGCGGAUGGAGCUGAAAUCAGUCGAAGAUACCAGCUGGCUGCAACUGUUUAUUAAAAACACAGCACUGUGCAAACACGAAAGUGGACGUAUACGGUGUGACGCCUGCCCGGUGCCGGAAGGUUAAUUGAUGGGGUCAGCGCAAGCGAAGCUCUUGAUCGAAGCCCCGGUAAACGGCGGCCGUAACUAUAACGGUCCUAAGGUAGCGAAAUUCCUUGUCGGGUAAGUUCCGACCUGCACGAAUGGCGUAAUGAUGGCCAGGCUGUCUCCACCCGAGACUCAGUGAAAUUGAACUCGCUGUGAAGAUGCAGUGUACCCGCGGCAAGACGGAAAGACCCCGUGAACCUUUACUAUAGCUUGACACUGAACAUUGAGCCUUGAUGUGUAGGAUAGGUGGGAGGCUUUGAAGUGUGGACGCCAGUCUGCAUGGAGCCGACCUUGAAAUACCACCCUUUAAUGUUUGAUGUUCUAACGUUGACCCGUGAUCCGGGUUGCGGACAGUGUCUGGUGGGUAGUUUGACUGGGGCGGUCUCCUCCUAAAGAGUAACGGAGGAGCACGAAGGUUGGCUAAUCCUGGUCGGACAUCAGGAGGUUAGUGCAAUGGCAUAAGCCAGCUUGACUGCGAGCGUGACGGCGCGAGCAGGUGCGAAAGCAGGUCAUAGUGAUCCGGUGGUUCUGAAUGGAAGGGCCAUCGCUCAACGGAUAAAAGGUACUCCGGGGAUAACAGGCUGAUACCGCCCAAGAGUUCAUAUCGACGGCGGUGUUUGGCACCUCGAUGUCGGCUCAUCACAUCCUGGGGCUGAAGUAGGUCCCAAGGGUAUGGCUGUUCGCCAUUUAAAGUGGUACGCGAGCUGGGUUUAGAACGUCGUGAGACAGUUCGGUCCCUAUCUGCCGUGGGCGCUGGAGAACUGAGGGGGGCUGCUCCUAGUACGAGAGGACCGGAGUGGACGCAUCACUGGUGUUCGGGUUGUCAUGCCAAUGGCACUGCCCGGUAGCUAAAUGCGGAAGAGAUAAGUGCUGAAAGCAUCUAAGCACGAAACUUGCCCCGAGAUGAGUUCUCCCUGAC